UUCGUAGUCUUUAAGUUCUCUCUCGCACAGCUUCGCUUCACAUCGUCAUCUCUACCGGAUUUGUUUUGAAUUAUUGAUUUUUUCUUCAUUCUUUGUAAACGCAUCAUCUUCUUCUCGUCUGAAAUCGUCAAGCACACGAUGGUGUUAAAGUUUCAGCGGCGAGUAAAACCAAAUCGUCUCUAUUCCACUUCAUACCGUUGAUUGUUGUCAGAUCUCUGUAACUACUGUUUAGCAUAGACGAUCUAGAUCUUCCAAAUACAUUGCUUGAGAUAUGCUUUGAACCCACUGAAAAAAAUGAUUAACAACGAUUUCAACUUCUGUUGGAUUGAGGUGAUCAAGAAUACAUUAGUGGGUUCAUGCAUGUUCAUUGUUAUUUCAUUUUCUCUUGAUAUGAGUUUUGUAUCGGUGUAUAUAUAUGUUUUAUAUUAGUGUGUAUAUGAUUUUGUAAAGAGAACAAAUAUAUCAAAUGUAAAUGGAAUAGAAUUUAUUAUGACA